CGCCCGGGCGGGACACGGAGGGCGGGGGCCGAGAAAGUACUUUCUCCCCCUCCCCCGGACACGCGGCGAGGGAGGCGGCCAGCGGCCGGCAGGGCCCGCGCGGGAUCGAUGACUCGGCUGGCGGGUACGGUCACCUGGGUGAGGGGCAGCGGAAGGGGCGGCGGAGCACCGAUCUCAUGGAUGGGCUCCGAGGGGCUUGCGGGAGGGGGGCGCCAGUGUUCGGGGCCGUUUUGGCGGCUAUGCGGGAUUGGCCGGAGCUGCGGUGCUCACACUUGCCUCGCCGACCGCCAUUUCACAUCCAGCAGAGGAGGCGGGGGCAGCCGCUGAGAGGGUUUUUCACAAGGAAAUGACCUCGUUCUUGAUGGCUGCUGCUAACUUAUGGUGAGAUGCUGGGUCCCUGUCCAAUACCACAUGGACAUCCAAUCUAUUUACCCAGGGACAAGUCCACUCAAGAGCAUCAUUUAGAAGAGGGAAAAGGCAUUGAGGUUAUUUGUUUUUGGAGUAUGUGCUUAAGGAAAUCUAGAGUAUUCCCACGAGCAUUCUGCUGAGAUGAACAAUCAGAUGCCCUCGUGUGAGAUUUGGAGGGCAGAAGGAAAUGGAGAGCACGCUUCUGCUGCUUCUGUGGUUUCUGUCGGUAAGCACAGUGACGAGGUGCUGAGUUUUCCCCAGAAAGCCUCCCAGUGUCCCGUUACCAGCUUCACAAGUGUCGAGGGCAGGGCAUGGGCAUCCAUUGUUCACCAGUAGAGAUCUAUCUGGCACAGAACCGAUCCAACCAUUGCAGUGGUCACAGCGGUGUUGGCUUUCUGAUCUUCGACCUUCCUGACUGCCAGAGGAGGCAGCCUCUUUGGUGGCCCUGUUCUGUGGUAUUGCGCUAACCGGUGGUGGGACUAAAACUGUCUCUAUAAUGUUUUAUUUCUUAAAAAAAAAUUCUGAAGCAAAUGUGACAAUAUGUUAACAUUCUUAAAAUCUGGGUAGUGGGAACAUGGAUGUUGUUAUUUGUGGUGUGUUUGAAAUUGUGUCAUAUUAUAAAUUAAAAAAAAUGUUUUGACUACAAAAUCUCUAUGUAUAUGCCCAGUUUUUAUAGAUUGUUGCUUACGCUUUUCAUAUUUUUACCCAAAGAGUAAUCAGGAAUUCUAAAAGUCUUAUGUAACAGGAUUUAAAAUAAAAUUACACAGAAUCUCAACUGUACUAUAUUUUGAAAAUAUGAAUGCUUAAGAUUAUUUUUAUUUUAUAUUUUUAUUAUAGAGAAAAUAAUUUCUAUAAAAUAUGCUUUCAGCUAAUGGGGGAUCCCAUUCCAUAUUUUUUUCUCUUUUUCUUUUUUUUAUUUCUCCAAGAAAAACUCAUUCCAGUUCUUUUGCAUUAAAUUCUCUUAUACCAAAAAAAUUGUUUCAAAAGUUGCUUAGUUGUUAUAGAAGAUGAUUGCUUAUAUGAUAAAGAAGUGUUAAGGCCUUGAUAAUAUUCAAAAGCUUCUGUAUAAAAACAAUACCAUGGAAAUUAAUGACAGAGUAAACUUUCUGAAUUAAAGUUCUCUUUCAAACUAUGAGUAAGAGGAGAAUUAGCUGGCUUCUUUUUUUUUUUUCCUUUUUUUUGAGACAGGGUCUUGCUCUGUCACCCAUGCUCAAUCACAGCUCACUGCAGCCUUGACCUCCUGGGCUCAGGUGAUUUUCCCACCUUAGCCUCCUGAGUAGCUGGGACCACAGGCAUGAGCCACCACACCUGGCUAAUAUUUGUAUUAUUUUGGUAGAGAUGGGAUUUCGCCAUGUUGCCCAAGCUGGUCACAAACUCCUGACCUCAAGCGAUCUUCCUGCCUUAGCCUCCCAAAGUGCUGGGAUUACAGGCAUGAGCCACUAUGCCCAACCUCAGUUGGAUGGGUUUGUGUGUAUGUGUGUGUGUGUUUUGUUUGUUUUUUAGUUUUUGAGACAGAGUCUCACUCUGUCACCCAGGCUGGAGUGCAGUGGCACAAUCACGGCUCACUGCCGCCUUGACCUCUUGGGCUCAGGCAAUUCUCCUGCCUCAGCCUCCUGAGUAUCUGGAACCAGAGGUAUGUGCCACCACACCUGGCUAAUUUUUGUAUUUUUUUGUAGAGAUGGGUUUUCGCUAUGUUGCCCAGGCUGGUCUCAAAUUCCUGGGCUCAAAUAACCCACCCACCUCUGCCUCCCAAAGUGCUGGGAUUACAGGUGUGAGCCACCAUGCCCAGCCUAGCUCCUUUACCUGAACUUAUUUUUCAUUAUCCUAAAAUGAUAAAAUAGAUCAAGAAGAUCAGAACAGGCUUAAAUUGAUGCUAUAAAACCAAUUACUCUGUAUUAUCUUUGCAACUCUUUUGUAAGUCUAAAAUUGUUUGAAAAUAAAAGUUUAUUUUAAAAAUUACUAUUCUCUUUCCUAUUCAACACCAAACUUAUUUCAUAAAGAUGCUUACAUUUUGUUUAUUUCUUCUGUUAGAGUGCCUAUCCUGCUAUAAAAUCACAUUUUACCUAAUUCCAUU